UUCUCUACCACUGACAAUUUUUGAAUCCAGAUUAGAUGUUUUUCUAAAAUAAAUAUAUGCUGUAGUUCAAACAGGAAGUAUUCUGGGGCAGUUUUAUGUCCUGUGUUAUACAGGAGUUCAGGCUAGAAGAAUACAGUGAUUCCUUUUGACCUUAUCUAUGAAUGCAGGAGCAUAAUGUUUUAAGACAGAGUUACUCUCAGGAUUCCUUCCAAAUUCCUAUUUUUAAGAAUUUUGUGUGAACCAGUUUAUUCAUAUCCCAGUUUUUCUCCAAGCCUCACUCCCCCACAGGGGAAGCUAAACGUCACACAGUUGAUGUAGUUAGGGCCCUGUUUUCUUACAUUUAUAGGACAAAACCUUUCAGGAACAUACCUAAACUUUAUGGCCUUUGCAGAGAGAUGUGUGUCAGGCAGUAUCCUCUCUGAACUUAUCUUAGUCUUCAACUGUAUAAGGACGUGUUAUUAGGUUAGAUCUAUCUAGUUGUAGUAGAGCUCAGGCAGCCUUUGCUGCUUGUUUGAAGAAUUUUCCUAUUUCUGAAAUCUGUAGGGCAGCUAUGUGGAGCUUGAUAAACACCUUUACAAGACACGUUCUUUGACAGUGGCUUCCUGAUAGAUGCCUGCUUUGGUGUGAUUGUCAUUGUUUAAGUAGGACUCUUAUUCCAAUCUCCAAGCAAAUUUAUAUCUGCUUGUUGUGCACUGCAACGGGGUAGACUAGGUCCAGAGGUCCCCUGCUGGAAGCCACGCGGCUGUGCCUACCCCUGCCCCAGAAAAGAGCAGAGGAGAAGUUCUCUAGGCAGAGAAGCAACCAGGAGGGCUGCUGGAGCAGACAAUGAGGGACCAGAAGGGCCCUAUAAAAGGGGAGCAGCAGAGGCAGAACAGUCAGUUGCUGCCUGGAUCUCGAAGAGGGAAGACUGGGUUCCUGGCUGGCUGGAAGAGCAGCAGGACCUUGGAUGACAGGUCAGUGCAGGCAGGCUGAUCCCAAGGGACUGAGCCCAGAACUUAGUCAGACCAGGCAACGGUACUGUGGCAGUGUCUCUCGGGGGGAAUCCUUGGUGCUACGGCCCCAUACCAGGACCGUGAGAAAGAACUAGAGACUGUAUUCCUCAGAAGAGGGGGACAGUGUGUGAGACUCGGCGGGAGGGCUGAGUUGCUGAAGACUUGUCGAAUAACCAUCAGCCGGGGGACGCUUGCAAGAGGUGGGGUGCCACCUGUUGUAAGAACUGAAAGAAAAGCAGGCUCACCUCUGACCAGUAAGGGAGUCCCUGUGAGAGGUGGGUGCUGCCCCGUGGAAAAAACCUGAGUGAUUGCAGGCACAUAUCAGCCAGAGACGAGCGCUCAUGAGAGGCGGAUGCUGAUGCUGUUACUUUACCGACACUUACAUGCACCAACAGUGUAAUCCAAAUGGACAAUUACUUUAAGAAAGAAUGUUUACAGUAACUGUUCUUCAAAAUGCAUUGUCCACAUGGAUUCUAUGACCCAUCCUCCUUCCCUGCUUCUAUGUAGCCUUACUCCUCUGGGAUUUAGUGUUGGUAAAGGAACAGAGAGGUGGUUGGCCCACUCUUCCCUUUAUGAUGUUAGGUGUAGGUGCUGCCCCAACAGAUGCUGCUGGCGAGAAAAAUCUGAUCUCCCAUUCCUGGGGCGCAUGCACACCAAAAGUGAAAUCCAUGUGGUUUCAAAGAACCACAAUUAUUGUAAGGUAAGUAAUCGUUCUUUCCCCUUAGUCUUUGAAGUUCUUUUUAAAGUAAAUCAUGUGUUUUUCAUGCAUUCACUGGGGAUACUUUAAGUAACGUAUUGGAAACAUGGGGGGGGGUUUGUUUUUGUUUUUUUGGGCUUGGGCGAUAUCUUUAUCAGGCUCUUCACUUUUGGCGUUUAACACUGGGGCGUGAGGGGACUUCAGUCCUUUGGCACUGUGCCAUUUGUCUUUGGGUCUCUGGCACUCUGUACUGCUUUAGUGCAGAGCACCCUACACAUUUUGAAGCUUCAGCUUGCCAACACACAGUAUCAGUAGUGUUUCAAGGCUCUGUCUCUUGAUAUGGAACAGUUCUUUUGAGGAAUUUUUUAAUGUUUCUCUUUGCUUGACUCUGCCAGCUAUUCUUUGUGGGAGUUUGAGGGGAGUCUUCCCUAUACUUGUCUGGGACAAACAACUCAUUAGUUUUAAAUGUAUGAAGUAUGAUCAUACUAUAUCUGACAGAUAACCAUAAUCUGUGCCUGGGAGAAGAGAGGCUCUCUGUGCUAAAAUGGCAUUCAGAUUAAGAAAGAAGUACCUGAACUCUUUUCUGGCCGCCAUUAGAGGCUGUAAGUGUUUCAGAUCUUUCAACCUCAACGUAUAAAACAUCAGCGUCCCCACAUCGGGCACUGAGUUUGUGUGGUACUGUUUGCUUAGGUACAGGUCUGGAGAUGGAUAGCUGUAACAGCACCACUUCCUUACUUACUCUGAAGCUGCUUCCUCUUGAUCCUUCUGAGGGCGUAUCAUUGUGUCAUCUUGGUUCGAUGAUACUUCACUUAACAAAGAGUCAUCGUACCCUUCAGAACACUGUGUUCUUCGAGGAGUGUCCCUGUGGGUGCUCCAUUUAAGGUGUCCUGGUUCCCUGCGCUGUAAUAGGAGAUUUGUGGUAGCAGUGCCUGGUUGUGUAGUGCAUGCGCUGUCACUGUCUCUCACCGCUCCACGCAGUUACACAGCACUGCGUGACCAACUGCCCCUCAGUUCCUUCUCUGCCGCAUUUGGCUUCAGUUGGAAUGAUCAGCAUCGCCCUCUCUUAGCUUUGUAAAGGCUAAUCUUAUCUAUAGUUUAUAGUUGGUAGUAUAAGCAGUAGUUAGGUACUUCCCCUUUAUAGUUUUUAUUUUACUUCAGACAAAUAUUUCCCUUUAUUUACCUUUAUUCUCCUCAGUAGGCUCCUGAGAAGUUAGACUCCUGUAGGUUUAUUUUCCUCCUUUUGUUUUGUUUGUUUUUUGUUUUGUGGCAAACUUUCUCCUGCAUGCCCAUAUCAUCGGACUUCAAACGCUGUCUAACUUGCCAACUGUCAAUUCCGGUCUCUGACGGACAUGCACAGUGUGUCCACUGUCUCGGCAAAACUCACAUUGCUCAAAAGUCUCCACAUUGCUAGAACCUCACAGCCAGAGCAAGAAAAGCUAGGUAUCUCCAACUUAAACUCCUUAUGAUGGAGAAAUCCCUCAGACCGACUUCAGACCCUAAGUCCAGGACACCUCCAGGCCAAUGGUCACCAUCCGCAGCCUCUGACAGAGGUCCUGCCCCUGCAGAGCCUAUGAAAGAGCCCUUACUGAAGAUGGCUACCGAAAAGUGGUGCCAGACUUUUCCGCACCGUGAAUCACCCAAGAAAAAGUGAUCCUCGACCACAAAAUGUACCUCAGUACCGACAGCACUGAGCAUGUCGGACCAUGAGGCACCAGGAUCUUCUGGUACCGAGAGUUCCCAGAAAGUGAAAGACCAUAUGCGGGCUCGCUCGAAUGGAGGCUUACAAAGCAAAGUGAAACCCUUCACCUCGGUACCCAUUGAGCUGAAAAGGAACCUCUGCACCAAGCGGUGCAAUGGUGCCACCUGCAGUACCUAUGCCGCACAGCUCAAAACCCUCAGCACUGGUGGCUACAACUCUUACUCCCGUGCCGCCAGCGAUGCUGACCUCUGUACCGAAGCUGACGGUUCCGCAACUAUUCCUGAGACAUGCAGACCUGCUAGUCUCCUCAACACCAGACUCUUAGCUGAUCAGAAACACCACAUUGGAAGGGAUCCAAGGAUCAGUCCGUGCCACUUAUAGUGUGUAGUAGUCAAUAUCUUCAUGUUCCAGGACAUGAUCCAGGAUGCUGUAAAUGUAGUGGAAAGGAUUUGCCAGAGCCAGCAGGGACCAUAAAAUAGAGGGAGUCUCAUGACCACAGCAGUUUCCUUGUACCAUACAAGAACUUAGUGGUCACAAGGCAGUCUCCAGUGCAGUUUUCUCUGUCUCUUUCUACAGGAGUUUGCAAAACUCUGUGUCACACUGUGUUUUCUCCAUGUAUUUUACAAAUCAUUGUUAGAUUUAGUAUCAAGAGAAGAAUCCAGGUUUUCUGUGUUACUUUUCCUACCUCCAUAUGAGGGGUGCCCAGACUUAUCUUUUAUAAUUUUGUGUUUGGGAUGCCCACCUUUUUGAAUACUUUUGCCUUAAUUUUCACUAUUGAUGUAAUUGGGUUUCUUCUGGAGAGUUCUCUGUCUAGAUAAAACUUCCUCUCCUCUCCCCUCCCCCCAAAUUUUCUUAUUCAUGUUUACGUAUGUUAUUGUUCACUAUAGACACUGCUUCUAGGUGCUGCUGUUUUUAUAACAUUUUUCUUUUAGAAAUACCACUCAAGUUUUCCAACCUUAGCAGAAAUCUAGAAGAGAAAAUUAUGUGCUUGUAAUGCUUGUUCCUUGAUUAUGUCUGAAUAGAUUCUCACUUUUGCACCAACCACACCUCAAAGGUUGAGAAGCUACAUCUGUUUGUUUUUUUACCAUUCUGUGGAAUGUUUAUUUUUGUUUUUUGACUGUUAAAUUCUUAUGCAGAAACAAACUUACUUUGGGGCAUUGGAGAGUGUACACCACAUCCUGUCAACUGGAAUGUGUUUGUGAAGAACGUCUACUAAAACCUAAGAGGAUCAAAAACUUCUGAGGAAGUUUUUCCUAAGUCACAUGUUAAAAGCAUGGACCCAGGAAUUGGAAAACAGUAAAGGGAAUUCAGAGAACUACUAAAGACAAUUCUCUUGUACUUCUGACUCAAGUUUUACAUCAUUUUUAAUAAUGUCCAAACAGUGAAUUUAUAUUUUUAAAAGAAAAUUAAUUAAGGUGUACUUUUCUGGGCACUUUCUGGGGAGCAACAUCUAGCUUGAAGAAUGACACCAUUAAGGGCACCAGCUAUUUACAGUCCAUUGACAUCCCAUAAACCUGUUCCUUUCCUGUCUCAAAAGAUUGGGGUUGGAUGUCCCCCUAACUGUCUGUUUAAAAUUUUAUUCAAAUGUCAAAAAAAAAAAAAGAAUUAAAAGUAGUUUCAGGUAUUCUAUACCUACUUAUGAUUCUCCCUACCAGUAUGUUUAUAGUUUUACAGUUAUAUUUUCC